CCAGCACCAGCACCAGCACCACCGGCUCCGGGAUCUCCACCACCAGCCUCCAUCCCCUGCCAGUAUUGGCAGCACCGCCACCAGCACCGCCGGCCUCAGGACCAAGCCCACCACCAGCGGGCGUUGACGGAGGCGGGUGUGCGGCUCUGGCGCAGCUGAGCCGUCGACCGCCGGAGCCAAUCCGGCAGUCCGGCAUUUCAGCUGCCGCACACUCGCCCGUCACAGGAUCAGAGGCCUCCCGAGACAGCCACCACGAUCAGCUGGUGUAGGCCAUCCAUGACAGAUGAGUGCUAUACAAGCCUGCCUCCGCCGUGCUUGGAGAGCUGACUCACCCAACGGCCGUUUGUGCCGCCACC
rnacentral:lncRNA from 1 species